GCGAACGGGUGAGUAACGCGUAGGUAACCUGCCUACUAGCGGGGGAUAACGCAUCGAAAGAUGUGCUAAUACCGCGUAAGACCACAGUGCCACAUGGCACAGGGGUCAAAGGAGCAAUCCGGAUUGAGAUGGGCUCGCGUCCGAUUAGCUAGUUGGUGAGAUAACAGCCCACCAAGGCGACGAUCGGUAGCCGACCUGAGAGGGUGAUCGGCCACAUUGGAACUGAGAGACGGUCCAGACUCCUACGGGAGGCAGCAGUGGGGAAUAUUGGGCAAUGGGCGAAAGCCUGACCCAGCAACGCCGCGUGAGGGAAGAAGGGUUUCGGCUCGUAAACCUCUGUCCUAUGGGACGAAGGAAGUGACGGUACCAUAGGAGGAAGCCCCGGCUAACUACGUGCCAGCAGCCGCGGUAAUACGUAGGGGGCGAGCGUUGUCCGGAAUGAUUGGGCGUAAAGGGCGCGUAGGCGGCCUGGUAAGUCUGGAGUGAAAGUCCUGCUUUUAAGGUGGGAAUUGCUUUGGAUACUGUCGGGCUCGAGUGCAGGAGAGGAAAGCGGAAUUACCGGUGUAGCGGUGAAAUGCGUAGAGAUCGGUAGGAACACCAGUGGCGAAGGCGGCUUUCUGGACUGAAACUGACGCUGAGGCGCGAAAGCGUGGGGAGCAAACAGGAUUAGAUACCCUGGUAGUCCACGCUGUAAACGAUGAGUGUUAGGUGUAGGAGGUAUCGACCCCUUCCGUGCCGCAGUCAACACAAUAAGCACUCCGCCUGGGGAGUCCGGCCGCAAGGGUGAAACUUAAAGGAAAUGACGGGGGCCCGCACAAGCAGCGGAGCUUGUGGUUUAAUUCGAAGCAACGCGAAGAACCCUACCAGGUCCUGCCAUCCAAUAAAAACCAUAGAGAUAUGGUGUGAGCCCGCUCAUAUUGAGACAGGUGGUGCACGGUCGUCGUCAGUUCGUGUCGUGAGAUGUUGGGUUAAGUCCCGCACCGAGCGCAACCCUUAUUGUCCGUUACUCACGCGUGGAGGGGAGGACUCCCACGCGACCGCUGGGGACAACUCGGAGGAAGGUGGGGAGGACGUCAAAUCAUCAUGCCCCUUAUGACCUGGGCUACACACGUGCUACAAUGGUUGGUACAAUGAGUCGCAAGUCGGUGACGGCAAGCAAAUCUCUUAAAGCCCAUCUCCGUUCGGAUUGUAGGCCGCCACUCGCCCACAAGAAGUCGGAAUCGCUAGUAAUCGCGGAUCAGCACGCCGCGGUGAAUACGUUCCCGGGCCUUGCACACACCGCCCGUCA
rnacentral:rRNA from 1 species